rnacentral:rRNA from 1 species
UUCCAGACUCCUACGGGAGGCAGCAGUCGGGAAUAUUGCGCAAUGGAGGAAACUCUGACGCAGUGACGCCGCGUGCAGGGAGAAGGUUUUCGGAUUGUAAACUGCUUUAGACAGGGAAGAAACAAGACAGUACCUGUAGAAUAAGCUCCGGCUAACUACGUGCCAGCAGCCGCGGUAAUACGUAGGGAGCAAGCGUUAUCCGGAUUUAUUGGGUGUAAAGGGUGCGUAGACGGGAAAACAAGUUAGUUGUGAAAUCCCUCGGCUUAACUGAGGAACUGCAACUAAAACUAUUUUUCUUGAGUGUUGGAGAGGAAAGUGGAAUUCCUAGUGUAGCGGUGAAAUGCGUAGAUAUUAGGAGGAACACCAGUGGCGAAGGCGGCCCCCUGGACGAAGACUGACGCUCAGGUGCGAAAGCGUGGGGAGCAAACAGGAUUAGAUACCCGGGUAGG